UUGUCCAGGAGCUCGAAGCAGCGGUCGGCCAGGCAAGGAGACAUAAGAGGUGUAGAAUAAGUGGGAGAUAUCAGAUUUCGGUUUGGUAUCGACAAUGAAAUACCACUACUCUUAUUGUUUCCUUACUCACUUGAUUAAAUUGAACGUAUAUCAUUUCCUAGCCAUUAUACGGAUAUAUUUAUUAUAUCUUAUGGUAUUGGGUUUUGAUGCAUGCUUCUUGAUCAAAGUAUCACGAGUUUGUUAUAUAAUCGCAAACAAAUUCUUUAAUGAGAAUAUGCAUUUAUGUGUUUUCAAUUUGAAAAUUUGGUAUAACUCCAAUUACUCAGGUAUGAUCCAAUUCAAGGAAAUUGCCAGGUAGGGAGUUUGACUGGGGUGGUACAUCUCUUAAAUAAUAACGGAGGUGUUCCAAGACCAGCCCAGUGCGGACAGAAACCACACAUAGAGCAAAGGGGCAAAUGCUGACUUGAUCUCGGUGUUCAGUAAACACAGGGACAGCAAAAGCUCGGCAUAUAGAUCCUUUUGGUUUAAAGAGACAGGUUAGGUUUACUCUACUAAUGACAAAACGUUGCUGCGACAGCAUUCCUGCAUAGUACGAGAGGAACCGCAGGUACGGACCAAUGGCACAAUACUUGUUCGAGCGAACAGUGGUAUGACGCUACGUCCGUUGGAUUAUGCCUGAACGCCUCUAAGGUCGUAUCCGUGCUGGACUGCAAUGAUAAAUAAGGGCUUCUAAACC
rnacentral:rRNA from 1 species